rnacentral:rRNA from 1 species
GAUGAACGCUGGCGGCGUGCUUAACACAUGCAAGUCGAACGAAGCAUUUAAGACAGAUUACUUCGGUUUGAGGUCUUUUAUGACUGAGUGGCGGACGGGUGAGUAACGCGUGGGUAACCUGCCUCAUACAGGGGGAUAUCAGCUGGAAACGGCUGGUAAUACCGCAUAAGCGCACAGUACCACAUGGUACAGUGUGAAAAACUCCGGUGGUAUGAGAUGGACCCGCGUCUGAUUAGCUUGUUGGCGGGGUAACGGCCCACCAAGGCGACGAUCAGUAGCCGAGCUGAGAGGGUGACCGGCAACAUUGGGACUGAGACACGACCCAGAAUUCUACGGGAGGCAGCAGUGGGGAAUAUUGCACAAUGGAGGAAACUCUGAUGCAGCGACGCCGCGUGAGUGAAGAAGUAGUUCGCUAUGUAAAGCUCUAUCAGCAGGGAAGAUAGUGACGGUACCUGACUAAGAAGCUCCGGCUAAAUACGUG